CUGGUGGGUAGGUUUAACUGUUUACCACUUUAGCUGUUUUACAAUACAGCUCCUACUUUUACUGAACCUUCCGACCAAGGGCUAGCAAGUUCCUUUCUUAAGAAAGUAAUUUGAAUAUGAUAUUGGUGAGAUAAAGACUUGUAGCAGGGUCUUAUAAUGCUUUGCAAAAGAAUCAAGUAAUAGAUCAAUGCAUACAAAUGUUUUUUUUU
rnacentral:lncRNA from 1 species